GACGAACGCUGGCGGCGUGCUUAACACAUGCAAGUCGAACGGAAAGGCACUGCGAGUGUGGGGUGCUCGAGGGCCGAACGGGGGAGGAAGACGUGAGUAACCUGCCCUUGACUUUGGGAGAACUUCAGGAAACUGGGGCUAAGACCGGAUAGGAUCUCCUGCUGCAGGGAGGGGGUUGGAAAGUUUAGGCGGUUGGGGCUGGACGCGCGGCUGAUCAGCUUGUUGGUGGGGGAGUGGCUUACCAAGGCUUUGACGGGUAGCCGGCCUGAGAGGGUGACCGGCCACAUUGGGACUGCGGUACGGACCAGACUCCUACGGGAGGCAGCAGUGGGGAAUAUUGCACAAUGGGCGGAAGCCUGAUGCAGCAACGUCGCGUUCGGGAUGACGGCCUUCGGGUUGUAAACCGCUUUCGCCUGUGACGAAGCGUGACUGACGGUAAUCGAUAAAGAAGCACCGGCUAACUACGUG
rnacentral:rRNA from 1 species